GGCGGCGUGGCUCAGUGGUAGAGCAGCGGUCUCAUAAUCCGCUUGUCGUGGGUUCGAUUCCCUCCGCCGCUA
rnacentral:tRNA from 2 species